rnacentral:sRNA from 1 species
GGAACCCGCGCGGGCACUGGCUCCGUCUGCCAGGGAUGAUGGCGACCCCUGAGAGCCUCUUCCCCACUGGGGACGAAUUGGACUCCAGCCAGCUCCAGAUGGAGUCCGAUGAGGUGGACACCCUGAAGGAGGGAGAGGACCCAGCCGACCGGAUGCACCCGUUUCUGGCCAUCUAUGAGCUUCAGCCUCUGAAAGUGCACCCCUUGGUGUUCGCACCUGGGGUCCCUGUCACAGCCCAGGUGGUGGGCACCGAAAGAUAUACCAGCGGAUCCAAGGUGGCCAGACUGGCCCCAGGGAGGGGGAAAGGGAGGGCGGCCCGGAAUGGAUCCAAGGUGGCUCGGCUGGCCCCAGGGAAGGGGGAAAGGGAGGGCUGGCCAGAGUGGGGAGGCGGGGACCCACGCAGGGGACAUCCAUUCAGUUCCUCAUACCCCUAGGUGGGAACCUGCACUCUGUAUUCUGUCCGUUUGACUCACGGCGACUUUUCCUGGACAACCAAGAAGAAAUUCCGUCAUUUUCAGGAGCUGCAUCGGGACCUCCUGAGACACAAAGUCUUGAUGAGUCUGCUCCCUCUGGCUCGUUUUGCCGUUGCCUAUUCU